rnacentral:tRNA from 1 species
GCCUGAGUGGCGGAAUUGGUAGACGCGCCAGACUUAGGAUCUGGUAACGAAAGUUGUGCAGGUUCGAGUCCUGUCUCAGGCA